rnacentral:rRNA from 1 species
GACGAACGCUGGCGGCGUGCUUAACACAUGCAAGUCGAGCGGUAAGGCCCUUUCGGGGGUACACGAGCGGCGAACGGGUGAGUAACACGUGGGUGACCUGCCCUCAGCUCUGGGAUAAGCCUGGGAAACCGGGUCUAAUACCGGAUAUGACUCCAUGACGCAUGUUGUGGGGUGGAAAGCCUUGUGCGGCUGAGGAUGGGCCCGCGGCCUAUCAGCUUGUUGGUGGGGUGAUGG